CCAAUAGCGUAUAUUAAAGUUGCUGCAGUUAAAAAGCUCGUAGUUGAAUUUCGGGACUAAUAUGUCGGUCGUGCCUCGGUACGUACUGGUAUUUUUGGUUUCUCCCUUCUGACGAACCUUGAUGUCAUUAAUUUGGUGUCUUGGGAAAUCAGGACUGUUACUUGGAAAAAAUUAGAGUGUUUAAAGCAGGCUCACGCGUGAAUACAUUAGCAUGGAAUAAUGAAAUAGGACGUUUGAUUCUAUUUUGUUGGUUUCUAGGAUCGACGUAAUGAUUAAUAGGGAUAGUUGGGGGCAUUAGUAUUAAAUUGUCAGAGGUGAAAUUCUUGGAUUUAUUGAAGACUAACUACUGCGAAAGCAUUUGCCAAGGAUGUUUUCAUUAAUCAAGAACGAAAGUUAGGGGAUCGAAGACGAUCAGAUACCGUCGUAGUAUUAACCAUAAACUAUGCCGACUAGGGAUCGGAUGAUGUUAAUUUUUUAAUGACUCAUUCGGCGCCUUACG
rnacentral:misc_RNA from 1 species